rnacentral:rRNA from 1 species
UACAGAGGAGCCAAGCGUUGUCCGGAUUGACUGGGCGUAAAGCGCACGCAGGCGGAUGCGCGCGUGGGGUGUGAAAUCUGGCCGCUUAACGGCCAGGCGCCAUCCCAUACGGCGCGUCUGGAGCCUUGCAGAGGUCGGUGGAAUUGCCGGUGUAGUGGUGAAAUGCGUAGAGAUUCGUAGGAACACCAAUGGCGAAGGCAGCUUGCUGGGCCUUUUCUGACGCUGAGGAACGAAAGCGUGGGGAGCGAACAGG